rnacentral:rRNA from 1 species
CGUAGGUGGCGAGCGUUAUCCGGAUUUAUUGGGUUUAAAGGGUGCGUAGGCGGCUUAAUAAGUCAGUGGUUAAAGGUAGCAGCUUAACUGUUUACAUGCCACUGAUACUGUUGAGCUUGAGUUGACAGAAGGCAGAUAGAAUUUCUGGUGUAGCGGUGAAAUGCUUAGAUACCAGAAGGAAUACCGAUUGCGAAGGCAGUCUGCUGCAGUCACACUGACGCUGAGGCACGAAGGUGCGGGAUCAAACAGGAUU